rnacentral:misc_RNA from 1 species
GUGAAUCAUCAAAUUUUUGAACGCAAAUUGCGCUUCCUAGCAUUCUGGGAAGUAUGCCUGUUUGAGGGUCAGUAUUAACAAAAAAAUCGGUUUGGUUGCAAAUUGUGACGUUUCCGGAGUUUGGGAAAUCUUAACUCUUUCGGUUAAGGGGCUUAAAAUUGACCUUUUUUGCGCAUUUUUAGACGUAAAUAACUUUUUUUUUCAUUAGUCUAUUCUUAAUGCCAA